CUUUAUUAUAAAGACGGGAAAGCAUGGUUUCCCACUCUGUACCACAAUACUCGUCAACUUUUUUGUAAAAAUUAGGGAAAUGAUAGCUACCGCCCAUAUCAAACACAUCAUUAGUCGUAUACCAAAAUUCCGAGACCCCAACAAAUUCAGUAUUUGCAAAAUCAACAGGAGGAAUAGAUAUUCCAUCAAAGUUACAAGGGUCCAUGGAGCAUGGCUUGUCUUUAUUUAAUAGAUUGUAAGUCAGUUUCAAGCAUUGUUUCAAAUCUCCAGUACCGGCAAAUUCGAUCCCAUCGAUAUCAUAAGUUCGUCCACGCAAGGAACACGGAUCGCUUAAAGUGUUGCCAACUUUUCCGUUUUCGCUUUCUAUUAACAGUCCCAAAUACCUGCGGUAAGCUUCAUUAGCGCCAAAACCGAGCCAGGUAGUAACAAACAAAGGAUAUUCCAAUUGCUGACCAUUUUGUAGUCCUAUGUGAACGGUCGAAAUACUAUCCUUGUAAUUUUUGAGCUGAGAUGGGGGAAGUUCAAAAGCAAUUUGCACACUCGCACCGCCCAUAUCUAAAAAACCAACCGUUGACGUAUCUUUUUCUUCAAGUGUCUUAAGGAGAUAGUUCGUAGCUAGCCAACCAUACAUACCUUCAGCUUUGCCAUCAAUUACACGGAUUGAAUUUGAGCAAUUAGGUAUGUCGAAAUCGUAAUUCUUUUUAAUAUAUCUACAAGCAUGCGAAAGUAUUUUGUUUUGGGCAUCAACGCCCAGUAAACGCAUACCAGCUGUAGCACUUAGGAAAACCGGAGUUUCUUUAUGUACAUCUUUGGGAAUAGCAUGAGCAGCAAAAUCCAGGAGUUCUUUCAAAUGCUUCUUCCCUACAUGCUUAGGGUUAUUGGCAAAGGAAGAAAUUCCAGGUUGAACCUUUAAAGACCAUUUACCACCAUCCCCAAUCCCUGUCUCGAUUAAUGGUAAUUUUUUUACUUUAUCACUUAAAGAGGAAUCGGUAUCAUAGUCCCAAGAAUAAAUUAGAAGUCUUGAACCACUAGAUCCAGCGUCGAUGAAAAUUCCAUACUUUCGAACCAUUUUUAGCCACCUGCACUUAUUUUUCUUAACAAAAUGUCUCUUUGUCUAUAAGACUGGAUAUUAAAUAACUUCGACUCUGAAGAUGGAUAUUUUCAUCAAACCAGCCCAAUUUGCCUUUUGUUUGUUGAUGGUUGAAAGCGCACUAUGGCGAUGUGAACAAUUUCAAUAUGGCAUAUGUUCCCAAGAUAUACAUCAAUAAAAUUCAGUUAAAUAUAUGUAUCUGUCUUAUCAAUG